rnacentral:rRNA from 1 species
UACGGGGGGGGCAAGCGUUGUUCGGAAUUACUGGGCGUAAAGGGCUCGUAGGCGGCCAACUAAGUCAGACGUGAAAUCCCUCGGCUUAACCGGGGAACUGCGUCUGAUACUGGAUGGCUGGAGUUUGGGAGAGGGAUGCGGAAUUCCAGGUGUAGCGGUGAAAUGCGUAGAUAUCUGGAGGAACACCGGUGGCGAAGGCGGCAUCCUGGACCAAUACUGACGCUGAGGCACGAAAGCGUGGGAAGCAAACAGG